CUGGCUCAGAUUGAACGCUGGCGGCAGGCCUAACACAUGCAAGUCGAGCGGAAACGACAACAUUGACCCUUCGGGUGAUUUGUUGGGCGUCGAGCGGCGGACGGGUGAGUAAUGCCUGGGAAAUUGCCCUGAUGUGGGGGAUAACCAUUGGAAACGAUGGCUAAUACCGCAUGAUGCCUACGGGCCAAAGAGGGGGACCUUCGGGCCUCUCGCGUCAGGAUAUGCCCAGGUGGGAUUAGCUAGUUGGUGAGGUAAGGGCUCACCAAGGCGACGAUCCCUAGCUGGUCUGAGAGGAUGAUCAGCCACACUGGAACUGAGACACGGUCCAGACUCCUACGGGAGGCAGCAGUGGGGAAUAUUGCACAAUGGGCGCAAGCCUGAUGCAGCCAUGCCGCGUGUAUGAAGAAGGCCUUCGGGUUGUAAAGUACUUUCAGUCGUGAGGAAGGGGGUAUCGUUAAUAGCGGUAUUCUUUGACGUUAGCGACAGAAGAAGCACCGGCUAACUCCGUGCCAGCAGCCGCGGUAAUAC
rnacentral:rRNA from 1 species